GUGCUCACUUCAGCAGCACAUAUACUACAACUGGAAAGAUAGAGGGAAUAUUAGCAUGGCACCUGAACGAGAAUGACAUGCAAAUUCAUGAAGAGUUCCAUAUUACA
ensembl:snRNA U6 U6 spliceosomal RNA